CCUACGGGAGGCAGCAGUGAGGAAUAUUGGUCAAUGGGCGUAAGCCUGAACGAGCCAAGUCGCGUGAGGGAUGAAGGUUCUAUGGAUCGUAAACCUCUUUUAUAAGGGAAUAAAGUGUGGGACGUGUCCUGUUUUGUAUGUACCUUAUGAAUAAGGAUCGGCUAACUCCGUGCCAGCAGCCGCGGUAAUACGGAGGAUCCGAGCGUUAUCCGGAUUUAUUGGGUUUAAAGGGUGCGUAGGCGGCUUUUUAAGUCAGGUGUGAAAGUGUGUGGCUCAACCAUAGGAUUGCCGUUGAAACUGGGAGGCUUGAGUAUAUGAGAGGUAGGCGGAAUGCGUGGUGUAGCGGUGAAAUGCUUAGAUAUCACGAAGAACCCCGAUUGCGAAGGCAGCCUGCCAAGCCGUGAUUGACGCUGAUGCACGAAAGCGUGGGGAUCAAACAGGAUUAGAUACCCCGGUAGUC
rnacentral:rRNA from 1 species